AGGAUGUUGGCUUAGAAGCAGCCACUCAUUCAAAGAGUGCGUAAUAGCUCACUGGUCGAGUGAUCCUGCGCCGAAGAUUUCCGGGGCUAAAACUUACUACCGAAGCUACGGCAUCAGUAAUGAUGGGUAGGGGAGCUUCCCAUACGGGUUGAAGCAUGACCGUAAGGACAUGUGGACAGUAUGGGAGUGAGAAUGUUGGCAUGAGUAGCGAGAUGUGGGUGAGAAUCCCACAGGCCGUAAACCCAAGGUUUCCAGGGGAAGGUUCGUCCGCCCUGGGUUAGUCGGGACCUAAGCUGAGGCCGAAAGGCGUAGGUGAUGGACAACAGGUUGAUAUUCCUGUACUACCGAUAACCGUUUGAGAGAAGGGAUGACACAGUAGGAUAAGCUAAGCACACUGUUGGUUAUGUGUGCCCAAGCAUUGAGGCAGUCAAAGUAGGCAAAUCCGCUUUGAUAAUGCUGGGAUGUGAUGGGGAGCGAAAUUUAGUAGCGAAGUAGCUGAUUUCACACUGUCAAGAAAAGUCUCUAUCGAGGUUAAAGGUACCCGUACCGCAAACCGACACAGGUGGGUGAGGAGAGUAUCCUAAGGCCAGCGAGAGAACUGUUGUUAAGGAACUCGGCAAAAUGACCCCGUAACUUAGGGAUAAGGGGUGCCACCAUCAGGUGGCCGCAGAGAAUAGGCCCAAGCGACUGU
rnacentral:rRNA from 1 species